rnacentral:rRNA from 1 species
GGAAGUAAAAGGUCGUAACAAGGUCUCCGUUGGUGAACCAGCGGAGGGAUCAUUACCGAGUUUACAACUCCCAAACCCCUGUGAACAUACCUAUACGUUGCCUCGGCGGAUCAGCCCGCGCCCCGUAAAACGGGACGGCCCGCCCGAGGACCCUAAACUCUGUUUUUAGUGGAACUUCUGAGUAAAACAAACAAAUAAAUCAAAACUUUCAACAACGGAUCUCUUGGUUCUGGCAUCGAUGAAGAACGCAGCAAAAUGCGAUAAGUAAUGUGAAUUGCAGAAUUCAGUGAAUCAUCGAAUCUUUGAACGCACAUUGCGCCCGCCAGUAUUCUGGCGGGCAUGCCUGUUCGAGCGUCAUUUCAACCCUCAAGCUCAGCUUGGUGUUGGGACUCGCGGUAACCCGCGUUCCCCAAAUCGAUUGGCGGUCACGUCGAGCUUCCAUAGCGUAGUAAUCAUACACCUCGUUACUGGUAAUCGUCGCGGCCACGCCGUUAAACCCCAACUUCUGAAUGUUGACCUCGGAUCAGGUAGGAAUACCCGCUGAACUUAAGCAUAUCAAUAAGCGGAGGA